rnacentral:rRNA from 1 species
UAGGGAAUAUUGGACAAUGGCCGAAAGGCUGAUCCAGCGACGCCGCGUGGAGGAUGAAGGUCUUCGGAUUGUAAACUCCUUUUGCUCUUGACGAAUUUCUGACGGUAAAGAGCGAAUAAGAGGUUGCUAACUCUGUGCCAGCAGCAGCGGUAAUACAGAGACCUCGAGCGUUAUCCGGAAUCACUGGGCGUAAAGCGUACCGAUAGGCGGUUUUGUAAGUGCUUGGCUAAAUCCAGAAGCUUAACUUCUGUCAUUGCCUAGCAUACUGCAAAACUAGAGGGGCAAAGAGGUGCUUGGAACCAGCGGUGUAGCAGUGAAAUGCGUUGAUAUCGCUGGGAACACCGAUAGCGAAGGCAGAGCACUGGGUGCCUCCUGACGCUGCUAGGACGAAAGCGUGGGGAGCGAAUGGG